rnacentral:misc_RNA from 2 species
ACGAGUUAGGGUCCCUCGCGGCCCGACCUCCCAACCCUUUGUCUACCUGACCACUGUUGCUUCGGCGAGCCCGUCUGUAAUGGACCGCCGGGGGGUACCUUGAUCGGCCCUCUGGUCCGCGCUCGUCGAUAGCCAAACUUUUAAAAUCUUAACCAAACGUGUCUCAAUCUAAGUAUUAUUUGUUAAAUAAAAGCA